ensembl:lncRNA
UGUUGCUUGUCCUUGAAUGUUUUGGGAGGAUGAAUGAGCUCAUAGAUAAGGGAAUCCUUCGACUUCAGAGAAUAUGCUGUGUAAUGUUGAGAAUCCCAGAGGGUUGUGAAAAACAUUGAUGGAAGACUCAAUGAUCCAUCCAGUAAUUAGCAUAAUGGGAGGACCUAAUAUCAUUGUAUAACCAUACUGUAUAAAAAUGUGUGUUUAAGGUUUGGAAGUCAGUUGUUCUGCAGACCAACUCAGCUUUUUUUAAUCUUCAUUUAAGUCUAUUUUGGAUUCACAAGUUCCUGAGUUUUUGCAUCUUUUUUGGCCGGACAUUCUUUGGUUGGGUCACACAAACAACACGUGGCCACAUUGAGAGAUGGCCCAGAUCAUUCCAAGGCCAAACCAAGCCCAGACCUGUGAGAGACUGCCUUGGGUUCAAAAUAAGAAAAUUGGACAGCGACGAUUCCAGCUACACCACACCCAAGGAGAGGUUGGAGGAAUGGAGAGACUGAUGGUUCCAGCUACACCACAUCCAAGGAGAGGUUGGAGGAAUGGAGAGACUGAUGGUUCCAGCUACACCACAGCCAAGGAGAGGUUGGAGGAAUGGAGAGACUGAUGGUUCCAGCUACACCACAGCCAAGGAGAGGGUGGAGGAAUGGAGAGACUGAUGGUUCCAGCUACACCACAGUCAAGGAGAGGUUGGAGGAAUGGAGAGACUGAUGGUUCCAGCUACACCACAGCCAAGGAGAGGGUGGAGGAAUGGAGAGACUGAUGGUUCCAGCUACACCACAGUCAAGGAGAGGGUGGAGGAAUGGAGAGAGGCACGCAGAACAAAGAGGCUUCUACAUCCAUGACUGUAACAGUCAGGAGCCACUUGACUGGACAUGGGGGAAUCACAGAGGAGAGAGGAGUUGUAUUUUAAUUUUUAAUACACUUUUUAUAUCAAUGUUAUGUUUGGGUCUUAGAAAUUGUCUGGCAAAUUCUGAUUAAAUUGGUUAUUUGGUCAUUGCUAUUGUACUUCCAGCUAGUUUUAGUCUUUUGUUUUUUGCCUAUUGUUGUUUUAAAUCUAAAUUGAUAAUUGUUUUGGAUUUGUUGUGAAUAAUUUGUGAUGAUUUUAUACAUCUAAAGCAUUUGUUUAUUCGUCUGACAUUUAAGUAAUGAUCUCACCAUCUCUAAUAGUUGAGUAUUAUUUCAUGAAUGGCAGUAGCCCAGAUGUUAGGGCCCAGGAGAAUAGGUAAACUGAUGUAGUGUUUUUGUCUUCUCUUUUCUCCUAUAAGGAUGGUGUUGCAGACCUCUAAAUCAAUGCAUGGAGACGAUUUGGGAACAAUGAUGUGAAGUGAUACCUCCCGCGACCAUUUCUGGGUUCCAGAACCUGAUUCAUGAACGUUUCAUUGGGGGGGGGGUGGCGGAAGGCCUGACCUUGUUAUGUCUGGAACGCAUCAACGGUGAGACAGAAGAGCAACAGAUCUGAGGCACAGAGUGGCUCACUACAAAAGAAAAUGGGACUGAGUUUCUGUUAAAGUAUUUACAACAUCAAGACCAAAGAAAAGAGGCCUUUGGGUCAAAAUGUCAACAGACAUCACAUAAGGACAAUGUGCCAGGUGAAGGGAGAGGACUAGGGAGUAACUUCCCAGUUAAGUCACACUUUGCCAUGUAUUGGGAUAGAGGUUGUGACAAAUGAGGUCUAAAUUGAGUGGGAAGUCAAAACUAAAAUUUAACUAUUUUGUUAUAGCCCACCAAGCAACUAUAAGAGAAAGAGGUGUUGAAGAAAUAAAAUGAAAUAUUUGGGGAAAAGUAUGGGACAGGAAAAUGACCAGUGAGGAAUUAGAUACUUUCAUAUCGUGGAAACAACCCAGAAAAUGAGUAACUAAUAGGUAGAAUAGGGACACAAGCAGUACCACGGUCCAGACAAUGAAACCAGGGACACGGCAAGUGAGAAGAAGGACAAGGCAAGUGAAAUGAAGGAUAGGAGAGAUGGAAAGCAGGGAAAGAGAAGUGAAAUGCGGGAGAUCAGAAGUGGGUACAAGAAGUACAAUGAUGGUCAGAGAAGUGGAAAAGUAAAUAAAUGGUGAGAAUCUGAGAUUGAUAAGGAUAGGAGUCCAAGAUACCGAAAACCUGUGGAGGAAGGUUUAAAGAUCUUGGGCAGGCAUGAAUGUUUUUAGGCCAGUGGUAUGAUUGUAGGGAGAAAUGUAAAACCAUUAUUAAUUUGGAUAAUAUCGACAUAGUAAUAGGGUUGUCUUACAGUAGCUGUUUCCCUUGCCCUUUUAGGGGAUAUAGGUGUAGGUAUUGCAGGAAAACAAAUAUCCUAGGAAGAUACGUGAACAAAUGUUUCAUGAUGACAUUAUCAUUUCCCAAGACCCUAUGAUUGUGCUUUGUGUCAAAGGGGGGACUGUGAUUUCUGUGCUGAGAAGGACUGAUCUCCAUUGUAAAGAUGGUUUCAAGUUCCUAGGUGGAUGGUAGCCAACCUAUUACAAAGAGAGUACUGCUUGGAGAAUUAGAUGGUUUAUUAUUUUUAUUAUUUUACUUAUAUUCUCAUACUCUCUUUGAUUGAAGUGAUUAUCAUUCAAAUGAUGUAUGUUUUAUUUUAUGCAAUUUAUACUCAUUUUAUAAUCAGUUUAUAUUCCAUUCAUAUGUAAUCGUUUGAAACAACAUAUUUUGCAAGGCUCUGAAAGAAAUCUGCACAUGCUUACACAAACUGACUUGAUUGGUCAGGUUAGAAUUAUUUUACUUCCUCCCAGCCAAACAGGGAGGGAAAGGUUUGGCUUCCAGCCUCUGGAGUGGUGGUUGACAGAGGAGAUUGUUUUAGAUAAUUGGGUUGAUUUCAACUCUCUUAUAGGAACUGAGUUUUCCUCCUCACCUGCCGUUUCCAGGUCUAGAUUGUGGGACUUAGAGGGGGGAUGUGUAGGGAUAUUUUCAUAAAAUGUUGUUCUCUCACAUUAACCCAAUGAAGAGUAGACAGAACGUCUCAUGUGAUCUCUUGCAUAUCAAUUGGGUGUUAAUGAAAUAUUUAACCAAGGCUCAUACUUUUCCCAAACAGUCCAAUUGUCUUUGAUGUUUCCACAUUUAAUUGUUAAGAGUGGCUGAUGAAGAAUACGGUAAACAGUUUGGAUUUCUAUGUGUGUCAAGGUCAACAGCUGUGCUCAGUUUUUCUUCUUACUAUACUGAUGUGACUAAGGAGCAACAGUUUAUUUCAUCUUGAUGUAAGAAUGACCUGUUGCUUGUCCUUGAAUGUCUUGGGAGGAUGAGUGAGCUCAUAGAUAAGGGAAUCCGUCCAUUUCAGAGAAUAUGAUGAGUAGUGGCUGGGGGAGCGAAUCCUAGAGGGUUGUGAAAAACAUUGAUGGAAGAUUCGAGGAAGGAUCCAUCCAGAAAUUAGCAUAAUGGGAUGACCUAAUAUCAUUGUAUAACCAUACUGUAUAAAAAUGUGUGUUUAAGGUUUGGAAGUCAGUUGUUCUGCAGACCAACUCUGCAUUUUUUAAUCUUCAUUAAAGUCUAUUUUGGAUUCACAA